UGUUGUUGUUGUUGUUGCUAUUGUUGCUAUUUCUUGGGCCGCUCCCGCGGCAUAUGGAGGUUCCCAGGCUAGGGGUCGAAUCGGAGCUGUAGCCACUGGCCUACGCCAGAGCCACAGCAACGCGGGAUCCGAGCCGCGUCUGCGACCUACACCACAGCUCACGGCAACGCCGGAUCGUUAACCCACUGAGCAAGGGCAGGGACCGAACCCGCGACCUCAUGGUUCCCAGUCGGAUUCGCUAACCACUGCGCCACAACGGGAACUCCUGUUUUUUGCUUUUUAGGGCCACGCCCAUGUCAUAUGAAAGUUCCUAGGUUAGGGGUUGAAUCGGAGCUACAGCUUCUGGCCUAUACCACAGCCACAGCAAUGCCAGAUCUGAGCCAUGCCUACAACCUACACCACAGCUCACAGCAACAUGGGAUCCUUAACCCACUGAGCAAGGGCAGGAAUCGAACCCGCAUCCUCACGGAUACUAUUUGGGUUCAUUUCUGCUGUGCCACAGUGGGAACUCCAGGAACGCUGUGUUCUUAACAAGAACAGUGUCCCAGUUUAAGAGAGCUAGAAGCACAGAAUGAAUUGCCUCUGAGUUUCUCCCAUCUUCUUUCAUUAUUAUUUUGAAUAAACACACAUGUUUCUAGGAAUUGAAGAGACUCUUCAAAAUAAAUAGCAUGAGAAUUUUUAACCAACCAGAUCCUUCCUUUUUCACACUUUUCAAGUAGCAGGAUGGGAAGGAAUAGCCCAUCUUUUGCCAUUGGAGGGACCAGUUGUCCUUUAAGGCUCCGUUGUCAUAGAGACCUAGUGUCUGUGGCCCCAGUUGCCCACACCCUCCUCUAGGUGGCCUAAGUGCUAGAGGACCCCUCAGAGAGGGAAACCCCCUAACGUGUACCCUUGCAACAUGAUGCUAAUGCAGAUGUGACCGAACCAAGUUCAUUUGCCCAACAUGCCCCAAGCUGGAUGGAGUAAACUUCUCUGUUUACAGCAGAGAAGGGGUUGACUCAUGAGGCAGCCAAACAAAGAAAUGGGAGAACAAGUCUCAGAUCUUCCUCCCUAAGGCAAGGAGAGGCUUGGGAUAUUUAUGGAUGAAGAUAUAAGGAGUUAUGUGCUUUUCCAUGGGACACAUGUGCAGAAAAUGGCAGCAUUCGCAUGAUCUGAGGAUGGAGUUUUUGACCCUUUGACCUUAAAAAGGCACCCAACAGACACCCACGCAUGCUCUGUUGGGGGUGGGUGAGUGGUCCUGGCCAGUCUUUAUUGGCUUGGGCUCGAACUGGACAGCAGCUGUCUCCAAGUUCCAGAAAAACAGCUUAAUCAACCAUUACCAUAGUGAUCCAUCAUCAUAGGUGUUAUAGCUAUAGGGGGCAGUUAAAGGAGCCUUGUGAUAUAUUGCCUAAGCUACAGGAAAGCUUGGAGGGUAUGCAAUUUGCAAGAACAAUUAGUCAGUGAAGGCAGGUUACAGGAUAUUAUUUGUUAAGCAAGCCAUAGUUUAAGGGAUCUGACUCACGAUUGCCCUCAGUUUCACAGGUAGAAAUUAUACUGCCUGUUCUCAUUUAGUUUUCAAGUGAAUCAUUCUUUAUGGUAACCCUACAGGUUGCUGUGGGUUGGUUUGUCUUAUUAAUUUUUCCUUGGCUUUCACUCACCCAGAAUUCCUCAUUAUUGACCCAGAACUCCCACAUUUACUGGUAACCUUAUUAGACUCGGCAUUUCAUAAUCCACCAUGGUAACGCUUUGUUCAAUUUGCUGCCACACUUAAACCCGACCAAAAUUGCUUGGACAAGAAGCUCUGUAAGAACACUGAUUGCAUUUAUUCCUUUCCUGGGGCAAAACGCUUCCAUUUCCUCUAAGACCAUACCGUUCACUGCAAAACCAGGUCUGUUUCCUGCCAAAGCUCCCCCAGAUGCUGACCACUAUUGUCAGUUGGUAGGGGUCUCUGAUGACAGUACGUGCUCUGGCAGAGCCAGCCAUACACAUGGCAGGAUCACAUGGCCUCUGCCUGGUAGGAUUCAAGGACAGGGAGAGGCCCCUGUGCAGAAGGCCCUCCCAGGCCACCUGAGCCCUGCUGUUUGAAACCUUACCACGAGUGAGUCACAUCUUUAGGCAUGGCCUUUUGGAAAAAUCUUCUUCAAAGAGGAAUUGCAUUUCAGUCAGUUAGUGGUUAAGAGGGUGGGAGGGGGCACUGCAAAAAGAGGCAAAGAGGAAGAGUUGAAAUAAAGGUGGUAACGUGAAAUUUUAUGCGUGGAGGGUUUUAUUAAGGAUUGUAUUGCAACACUGGGCUAAACAGAGCAGGUAACACUUACGACAGAGUGACUCCAGUAUGGCUCAGACCUACAGGCAUAUGCUUAAUGAGGUCUUAUUAUUUAUUAUUUAUUUGUAGGAAAGCUUAAUAAGUAAGGGAAAGUUCAACUUGAUUUGUAAUUGACCCACCAAUUCAAUGUAAAUUAUGGGGUAUGGCAAGUAGCCAGAGUUGUAGAAAUGAUAGAACUGCCAUACAGUAAUAUCUAGUUGUACCUUGCAUAGGCAUGGGAAUGUAUGGAUCUAACGUGCGAAGCAAAAAGUAGCCUUUAAAUGUUGUUCAUCUUCAGAAACACUUUGUUACAAACAGCACCACCACCUACUAUUUGGACAGUUGGGUUUUGGUCCCUACAUUUAAUCUCUUCAUCACCAUCUCAGAAGCCAGAGAGGAGAAGGCAAGGAAUCUCAGCCAGUCUGUUUUAAGAAGCUCUGGACCCCUGUUACAGGGAUACUUCUAAUCAAUAAGUGCUAUGGGAGAAAAUUUCCUAUAAAUAAAUCACUCGAUCGAUGUAUCCUGAGGCGUGGCAAAAUUGCCUCAGUCCUCAGCUUCUAGUUGUUCCAGCCAAUUUGAUGGCAGACAAAUGCCAUGUGAGGCCAUCCUCUCCUCUGGCUUCUUCCCUAUUUCUUUCCCUCUGAUGUCAGUCAUUCCCUCCUACCUCCCAUACAGCAGAGUGUGCACUUGAACCCUGACCUGUUUGCCUUCUUUUCCAUCCCCCUCUCGCCUUCCCCAAGAGCCAGGGCAGGUGACUAAGAGCUGAUUCAGAAGGACCUGCCCUCACUUACUUCCCUUUAUUGAUCGAUGCACUUUAAUAGCAACUCAUCUACAGCAAAUGAUGACCUCAUAGGGUAUUUGUGGAAUGAAAGGAUUUUCCAUUCCACUGUCCACUUUGCCAAAAAGCCACUGCAGACUUGAAAAGCAGAAGGGAAAUCCUGGGGGAGGGCAAACCAAAUUUGGAACUUUCACCGAGCCUAUUGCUUUGUCGGAAGGCAAGUCUGCUUUAGUCUUGAACACUUAUUUGGGAGAGGAGAGAGGUGCCAUAAUAGGCACGGGCACAGAAAGGACCAGCAGUGAGCCUCUGACACUGCCCAACUUAGGGAGAAUCUACAACUUGGCUGAUCUGAGGGUAGAAGGAAUUUUUCAGUCCUUCUUGAACGUUUGAUACCCUUAAAAAAAAGCCUCUGCUGGCAGUCCGCUCCCUGCAAGCUUUCUUUUCUGGUUGCUUACAGUCAAUUUGUCAAUGAGUUCUUCCCCUUAGGACCAACAUUUCCAAGUCACAUCUUUAAUAUCUUCUUGCAUGCAUCUAUUGGAAGACGCUUUACUCUUGGAAGCCUUUUUCUUUUAGAACCAGAACUGCCCUGAUGUAGCACCGUGGAACCCUCCUUUAACCCUCCCAUGUGCUGACUCUGAUUGUGUAGUUUCUGAUAGUAAGUGUCCCUGAAAUGCCCCCCUUGGCUAAUGGAAGCAUCACUGCACUGCGGUCACAGUCCCUGUUCAGAAGACCCUGGUGUUAACCCAAUUGGAACCUGACGGAUAUCUGGAGGAUAAAAGAGAAAUGGUGCUGAGUAGUCAAGAGAAUCUGUCCAGACCCCCAGCCACAAGGAGAAAAGGAAGGAGGGUGGGAGGGCAGCGAACUAAUCUUCAUUCUUCCAGCAGAGAUACAGAGGCUGGGAACAUCUCAUCCAUGACAACCAAACCGAGGCUCACUCCCUUUUACACUCCUUUCCAUAAGGCACUUAGAGAAGCAAAACAAAAACAAAAACAAAACUCAAGU
rnacentral:lncRNA from 1 species